AGUGAACGCUGGCGGUAGGCCUAACACAUGCAAGUCGAACGGCAGCACAGUAAGAGCUUGCUCUUACGGGUGGCGAGUGGCGGACGGGUGAGGAAUACAUCGGAAUCUACUUUUUCGUGGGGGAUAACGUAGGGAAACUUACGCUAAUACCGCAUACGACCUACAGGUGAAAGCAGGGGAUCUUCGGACCUUGCGCGAUUGAAUGAGCCGAUGUCGGAUUAGCUAGUUGGCGGGGUAAAGGCCCACCAAGGCGACGAUCCGUAGCUGGUCUGAGAGGAUGAUCAGCCACACUGGAACUGAGACACGGUCCGGACUCCUACGGGAGGCAGCAGUGGGGAAUAUUGGACAAUGGGCGCAAGCCUGAUCCAGCCACACCGCGUGGGUGAAGAAGGCCUUCGGGUUGUAAAGCCCUUUUGUUGGGAAAGAAAAGCAGCAGGUUAAUACCCCGCUGUUCUGACGGUACCCAAAGAAUAAGCACCGGCUAACUGCGU
rnacentral:rRNA from 1 species